GGUUGUGAGGGCAGUUUGGUUGUGACAUCUAUCACCCUACUGAUCACCAAAGUUGACUCAGCUGAUCUGGCUGGCUAGGCAGGUGUCUCCUUCCUCCUCCACCGCUCCCUGUGUGUCCCUCCAAAGCUUUUGAGCCCAAAGAGGACAACUUUCCCUGACGGAGGAGGCCCGUUCUUCAGUCAAGGGUAUAUAAGUAGCUGUGCUCACCUGCUGGAACCUCCAAACCAGCUUUCAAGAUCCAUUCAUAGGAAAACAUAAGGUAGUCAGGCUUCCAAGACUCCAGACACAUCCAAAUGAGGCACCACAUGUGGCAGUCUGCCUUUCUUU
rnacentral:snRNA from 1 species